UACGUAGGGGGCAAGCGUUGUCCGGAUUUAUUGGGCGUAAAGAGCGUGUAGGCGGCCGUACAGGUCAGCUGUGAAAACUCGAGGCUCAACCUCGAGACGUCGGUUGAAACCGUACGGCUAGAGUCCGGAAGAGGAGAGUGGAAUUCCCGGUGUAGCGGUGAGAUGCGCAGAUAUCGGGAAGAACACCCGUGGCGAAGGCGGCUCUCUGGGACGGUACUGACGCUGAGAAGCGAAAGCAUGGGGAGCGAACAGG
rnacentral:rRNA from 1 species